rnacentral:sRNA from 1 species
AGUAGUUUUUGACUUACAAGCAUUACUACCUAUGCAUUUACGCGCGGUGAGUUUCUCGCCGCGCUUUUUUAUGCGCAAA